rnacentral:lncRNA from 1 species
AGACAUUACUUAUGCAAUGAGAUUUGUAAUAGCUUUGUAAUUACUGUCCAUUAGGUCACACCCCAAUUUCCUUAAUGUUUUCCACUGAUACAUUACCAAUCAGCAUCAUGGCUGACAUCUGAACAAAUUCCAGUUGAACACUGCGGAAGGUUAGAUCAGUGUCUGCAGUGUUUGUUUUAAUAUGCAAAUAGAGUCCUAUGUUGGUGUUUAUAGCCACACGGAUGAAAACGUACAAAAUUUUCUACCUAAAAAUUUUAAGACACUUAACUUUCUUAUAAAAAGGUGGCUCUCUAGUUUCUUGAAAGUGAAGGUAGGAUAGAAGAGGGAGAAGAGAGGAGGGAGGAGGGUAAAAGAGAGAGAGGGAAGGGGUAGGGAUACAUAGAUUAGUAACACACUCAGUGCUGCACUGAUCAGGAGGUUCACAUUUCUUGUUUGCAUUCAAAGAUAAGCUUCUGUCAUUUCUCUUUGGGAAUAUCACCUGAGGUCAAAUAACAUAGACUCAGUCCAAUCGUUUUUCACUUACCUUGGAAGGCAGUAGCAAACAAUUUAUGAUUGGCUAAAAUCAAUUUUCAUAAAUGAUCUGCGACAGAUUCAGAAAGGCUUGACACUAUCUGUUCCCAGGCAUCUGGUCCAGAAGUCCAGGUCAAAACCUUGUCAUAAAACCAGACUGCCUGGCAUUAUUGCAGGAAUCAGCUUUAAAGAUCCCCAGCAUCUGACCUAGUUAGACUCAAGUACAGACCCUCCAUGCUCUGAAGGACUGUCUCUUUAAAUCCUUCACUGUUCUUGACCAAAUGACAAGAAAAGGGAAUUCUGUCAAUCACGUUUCUUUGUGUGUCCCAGUCGGGGUAUUGUUUUAUCCAUCCAGACAUCAGCCUCACUUUGGAAAUGUGAAGUCCUUUAAUUUCUGGUAGGAGCAUUCUACACUAACUAGAGGAACAGGUUUUAGGCCUCAGGUUGACACACUGAUGAGGAAUUCUAAGACUGCAAAAUCACACUGCUCAUAAUUAUCUUCCUUGUUUUGUGAAGAUUGACUUGAAAGACCCAUAGAUAUAGAUACUUACGUCCAAUUUAAUAAUUACUUUGAUUCAUUGUAUUGAAAAUGACGAAUAUUUAAUCUUCAGUCAAAUUAAAUAAUCUUAUUUUCCACCUAAAAGGUUACUUCAAGAUAAUACUCGCUGGGCAGUGGUGGCGCACGCCUUUACUUCCAGCACUUGGGAGGCAGAGGCAGGUGGAUUUCUGAGUUUGAGGCCAGCCUGGUCUAUAGAGUGAGUUCCAGGACAGCCAGGGUUCCAGGGUUCCACAGAGAAACCCUGUCUCAGAAAAAAAAAAAAAAAAAAAAAAAAAAAGAUAAUACUCAAAGAGGCUUCACCUCUUUGAAACUGCUUAUUGAAGCUAUCUCCAAAUCCUGAUAGUUAUGGAUGAUAAAAAUCUUCUAGAUGUGCGCUUCCUUUGUCCUGUCUUUGAAACAUGGAUAACAAUAUAUUUUGUAUAUGACACAAAUAUGACCAUAAUUUGAAAAUUAUCAUUGCAUAAUGCCUACUUUUAACCUGACCUGUUUGGUAUGUCUGCUUAACUAACUGUAUAUUAUGUAACUAAUAGGCAAUUGUUCUGAUUACUAAAUAGCAUAUUCAUGAUUG